rnacentral:lncRNA from 1 species
AAAUCAGUUAUUAGUGACAUUACAUAGUUAAAUUAAUAUUUUUGCAGAGAUGCUAUUUUAGUAAAACGUGAAUUAACCAAAAAAAAAAAAAAAAAAUAAAGUAGUUAAUGUGCAAAUGUACUGUCUUAAAUAACUGUCUAAUCUCUUUACAGGUCUCAGGGAAAAGUCUCUUUGUCCAGACAGCAUUGUGUGUGUGGUCCAGUCUGGAGGGGUGAAAGAGUGGCAGUCCGCCCUUCUGCUGCCCGUUUACUAUGCCAAGACUCUCUCUCUCUUCUCGUUCUCUCUGUGUGUGUGUGUGUGUGUGUGUGUGUGUGUGUGUGUGUGUGUGUGUGUGUGUGUGUGUGUGUGUGUGUGUGUGUGACGCAUUUAACACCAGUCUUCCCUCACGCUCCUCAGAGCGCAGAUCAUCAGCGUGAGAUGCAAUCAUCAGCUCUGCUUUCUUUCGACAUCCGGAACAAGGCUAAGACGGACAUUGGGUGUGUGAACAUUGAAUUGGCAGAAAACAGUCAGGAUUGACUUUGAGCCAUCAGGAUGCUGUCGGUUGUGGUCUGUCUACAGCUGUUACUGGCCCUCGCUUUUAUGGUGAGUGAAAUAUUGCAGUAGUCUAUAACAGCAGUCAAUAAAUUACACUUACAUCAUCAUGUAGGAAAUCUGAAACAGAGACAUGUAACUGUUAAGCAAAACAUCCCAGCACAUGGUGUGAGAGGACAAACCUCAUCUGCUUUAAAAUUGAUGUCUAAAAGCUGGCCACAUUUCAUAUACUCAGAAACAUAGUACAGAAAUACUGAACUGUUUGUUCAGGGACAUAUGUAAUAUUAAAAUACAGCAGUGGCCCCUAAAAUAUUUGAGGACAUUUGAGCACUUAAGUCACACUUAAAGUCGCAAUGAAACUGAUUUUUUCUUCUAUAUUAUGAUGUACAUCUGCCUGUGGGGGGCGGGACUUUCUAUGCAUCAGUUGUUGAUUGGAUGUUGAGAUGUGGGUGUGGCUCUCAGUUUAAUCUCAUUAGAUGAAUGGAGAUAUCCUGUCUGCAUAGUUUAAAAAAAAAAAUGAAACAUGUAUAUGGAUGAAUUGCUGUCAACACACAAGAAAAUGUGUUAAGAAAAUAGAUUAGAAAAUUGAAUUUUUAUUUCAUGGCAACUUUGUAUUAGUGCUGCAUUCAGAAAAUCCUAUACAUUGACUUUCCGGUUAAGUGUUUGGAUGUUUCCAAAUAUCUUCAAGUUUGAUCUGCACUAAAGUGCUCCACUUAUCUCAAUGUUUUAAUUUUUUUUUCCCACAUCACACAGGUGUUUUAGCAGAGCAACUACAGUUGUACUUCAUCACUUUAACAACAUAAUCACACAGCUACUUUCCAAAUCAAUGACACACAUGAAAAAUUAUUAUUUAAUUGAG